AGAGUUUGAUCAUGGCUCAGGAUGAACGCUAGCGGCAGGCUUAACACAUGCAAGUCGAGGGGUAUAUGUCUUCGGAUAUAGAGACCGGCGCACGGGUGCGUAACGCGUAUGCAAUCUACCUUUUACAGGGGAAUAGCCCAGAGAAAUUUGGAUUAAUGCCCCAUAGUAUAAUUGAAUGGCAUCAUUUAAUUAUUAAAGUCACAACGGUAAAAGAUAAGCAUGCGUCCCAUUAGUUAGUUGGUAAGGUAACGGCUUACCAAGACAAUGAUGGGUAGGGGUCCUGAGAGGGAGAUCCCCCACACUGGUACUGAGACACGGACCAGACUCCUACGGGAGGCAGCAGUGAGGAAUAUUGGACAAUGGGCGCAAGCCUGAUCCAGCCAUGCCGCGUGCAGGAAGACGGUCCUAUGGAUUGUAAACUGCUUUUAUACAGGAAGAAACACUCCGACGUGUCGGAGCUUGACGGUACUGUAGGAAUAAGGAUCGGCUAACUCCGUGCCAGCAGCCGCGGUAAUACGGAGGAUCCAAGCGUUAUCCGGAAUCAUUGGGUUUAAAGGGUCCGUAGGCGGUUUAAUAAGUCAGUGGUGAAAUCUGGUCGCUCAACGAUCAAACGGCCAUUGAUACUGUUAGACUUGAAUUAUAAGGAAGUAACUAGAAUAUGUAGUGUAGCGGUGAAAUGCUUAGAUAUUACAUGGAAUACCAAUUGCGAAGGCAGGUUACUACUUAUGGAUUGACGCUGAUGGACGAAAGCGUGGGGAGCGAACAGGAUUAGAUACCCUGGUAGUCC
rnacentral:rRNA from 1 species